GAUGAAGAACGUAGCGAAAUGCGAUACUUGGUGUGAAUUGCAGAAUCCCGUGAACCAUCGAGUCUUUGAACGCAAGUUGCGCCCGAAGCCAUCAGGUUGAGGGCACGUCUGCCUGGGCGUCACAUAUCGUUGCUCGAUGCCUAUCGCAUUGCGAUAGGACUUAGGGCGAAUGAUGGCUUCCCGUGAGCGUUGUUGCCUCGCGGUUGGUUGAAAAUCGAGUCCUUGGUAGGGUGUGCCAUGAUAGAUGGUGGUCGAGUUAGCACGAGACUGAUCAUGUGCAUGCUCCCCAAAAUAUGGCCUCUGUGACCCACACGCGUCUUUUGACGCUCAUGAUGAGACCUCAGGUCAGGCGGGGCUACCCGCUGAAUUUAAGCAUAUCAAUAAGCGGAGGA
rnacentral:misc_RNA from 1 species